ACCAGCAUGGUUCAGUGAUUUGAAUGCUGGACUACAACUCUGGGGAUCAGGGUUCGAUUCCCUGCUCCGCCA